GGAGCAGCCUUGGCUGGGUGGUUACGGUUUCGUUUUGUAAGCGAAUGGUUCUGGGUUCGAUUCUCAUCUGCUCCC
rnacentral:tRNA from 1 species